rnacentral:rRNA from 1 species
GGAUUGGCGCAUCGGUCGUGCCUYACGGGGUAUGAACUGGUGCAGUCAAUUUCUCACCUUCUGGAGAACCGCGAUGUCCUUAAUUGGGUGCCGYGRGGAACCAGGACCUUUACUUUGAAAAAAUUAGAGUGUUUAAAGCAGGCAUUUUUGCUUGAAUACAUUAGCAUGGAAUAAUAAAAUAGGACGGCAUGGUUCUAUUUUGUUGGUUUCUAGGACCACCGUA